CGCGCCCCGGCUGCUCCACGGCCCGGCCCCGGGCGGGGGGCGCGCGGGGGCCGGGAGAGGCUGAUCCUUACCCCGCUCCUAGGCCCUGCCCACCCCCGCACGGGUAGCACCUGGAGAGGCGCCCGCCGCAAGGCACCCCCCGAUCGCUCCCCGCUGCUGCCCGAAGGGUCCCCAAGAGCCGCAGGGGGCCCCACUGCGGGACCGGGUGACUCCCACCUGCCCGCCCGCCCCAGUCCGUAGCCCCUACCUGGUGCGCCUCCAGCUCCUCCACCAGCACCUGGGGAGAGACACAAAGGACAUAUCCCGGCCCGAGGCAGCCGCCGAGCAGGGUGUAGCGCUACCGCCCGCCGCUAGGGGGCGGCCGUCCAGACAGGGGAAAGCCUACGCGGAAGGAAGGACGGACGGACUCGGGGGACGUGCUAGGACAGCGGGACGACGCUCUGAUACGAGUCUUCCGGAAACUCGGUGAUGCCGCGGUCCUGUGCGGCUUCCGGGUCUGCGUCCUGCGCGCUGUGACUUGGUCCCUCCCCCCGCGGGGGCGAUGCUGAGGCCCGCCAUUGUAACCCCUGGCACACAGCGCCCCCUGCCCGCCGGCUGCCCUGUGGCCGGCUGAUGUACUGCCCGGACGGCCGUCCUGGCGCUGGGCCUCCUCGGCCGCGCCCAGCCAGGAGAUCGGGCUGAGCCGCCCCAGCGCAGCCUGACCGAGCUGCCUGUGAAACCCGGUUCGGAAUCCUGGGGCCGGCUGCACCCAGGGGAGGCCUUUAAGGUCAGAGGCGGUGCCUGCCCAGCGGGGGCUCUAAGCAGGACCACUCCCCCCAUCCUAAACAUAGGCUUUAAGGCGAGAGGGAACCGUCCUGUUCAUCUAUCUGCAGCACGCCCAUAACCUCUGGCUGAUGAGCCACCAUUUAUUCUAGUGCAAUCCAGCCAGUGACCUAAGUGUAUUCUUUCCCGGGCCAGACAAUCCAUCAACUCAGCACUUAUGUACACAAGUUAAAAAGCCCACAUUAACUAAGAUGAAUGGUAUUUUGAGGAGUAGUACUAAAUGGGGGAGUGGGGGCUGAGCUGCCUGGGUCCUAAGCAAUUGUUUAGUCUGCUUAUGCCUAAUGUCAUGACUGCUUAAAUUAAAGGAGCCUUAUCUCUAAGCAUUUUACAAAGUAUGUAUAAUAUUUUAAGCACCUCUGGUAUAAGAGGCAGGUAUUUCAAGCACUGGGGUACAGAUGAAGUGUGAUUACAGAAGUACAUUACAAUCCUGCUGCCAACACAAGGAAGUAGUUAAGAAAGAGUGAGGCCAAGAACAGACCUUACUCAGCCCUUAACAUAUAAGACUGAAAUUCAUGAGAUUCAAUUAUUGUUCUACUUUACUAUUAUGUGAGUUAGAGGUGGAAAAAAGUAUUAGGUCAUCUCAUCUAGGCAACCCGAAAAGAGGUAAAGUUUAGCUGCAAUGGUAACAGCAGUCCAAAGUAAUAGGGAUUACUUUUACGGAUGCGAUGCCUGUUUUUGUAUGCAGUGUUGUAGAUGUGUCGGUUCCAAGAUAUUAGAGAGACAAGGUGGGUGAGAUAAUAUCAUUUAUUGGACCAACUUCUGUUGGCAAGAGAUACAAGUUUUUGAGCUUACACACUUAUCUCUCUCACCAACAGAAGUUGGUCCAAUAAAAGAUAUUAUCUCACCCACCUUGUCAUGCUUAUUUUUGUUGUUUGACUGGUUACCAAAUAGUUGCUACUGAUAAGCAGGGCUUUGAAGACAAUGUCUGAUCAUUUGAUAGCAUGAAUACAGCAGCCAUUUGGAAAUAAGUAUUAAUUUUAAAAAAUAAUGUGCAUUGUUCAUGAUUCAAAGUUUUCUUAAACUAAGAUACACAACAAUAUGCAUAUUAGUGUUUUUAAUGACAUAUAAAGAACUUAAAUAGACCUAUAAAUAAUACCAGUAUAUGUUUGUAGUGAUUUACUCUCUGCUAUAACUAUUAAAUAAAGGUAUUCAAAUAGCUCAGUGGUUUGAGCAUUAGCUUACUAAACCCAGGGUUGUGAGCUCAAUCCUUGAAGGGGCCAUUUAGGGAUCUGGGGCAAAAAUCUGUCUGGGGAGUGGUCCUGCUUUGAGCAGGGGGUUGGACUAGAGGACCUCCUGAGGUCCCUUCUAACCCAGUAUUCUAUGAUUCUCCAUAAAAUGUUCAAAUUUGAGAGCCUAUAGAUAGGUACCAAAAUAAAUGAUCUGAUCAUCAGAAGUGCUGUGCACUCAUUCCUCCUGUUGGAGUAAGUAGGGCCUGGACACUGCAAGUGUUCAGCUGUUUUGAAGUUCAGACCAGUUUCAGUCCUGCAGUUGGAUCAAUGUGGGCCAACCCCUUAAGUCAAUGAGAUUCCAUGUAGGCACCAGGGUCCGCCUACCCUCAUCCAGUUCCAGGAUCAGGGCCACAGGUAGGCUACCUUUAGUCACUCAAGUAAAAAUAAUUUGUCCUCCGUGUUGAAGAAAACAGACAUUAUUGUUAAACUGCAUUUUUUUUAAAGGUUUGCAACCGUCAGAGGAAGAAAGGUGCAGUAGCAACCAACUUAAAGAUCCUCAAGGACAGCAGAUAAUUUUUCAUAGGAAACAUGGCUUGGCAAAGCUACAGAAAAUGACUCUGCCGUACCAAAAGAUGUCAAAACCUGAUAGCUUUAUAUUUUUAUGGGGUUGUCAAAAUGUAUCAUUCAGUGAGAUUAAAUGACAGCUAUUCACUACA